GACGAACGCUGGCGGCGUGCUUAACACAUGCAAGUCGAGCGGUAAGGCCCUUUCGGGGGUACACGAGCGGCGAACGGGUGAGUGACACGUGGGUGACCUGCCCUUAGCUCUGGGAUAAGCCUGGGAAACUGGGUCUAAUACCGGAUAUGACUCCAUAACGCAUGUUGUGGGGUGGAAAGCCUUGUGCGGCUAGGGAUGGGCCCGCGGCCUAUCAGCUUGUUGGUGGGGUGAUGGCCUACCAAGGCGACGACGGGUAGCCGGCCUGAGAGGGCGACCGGCACACUGGGACUGAGACACGGCCCAGACUCCUACGGGAGGCAGCA
rnacentral:rRNA from 1 species